AGCACUGAUGUCAUCGCACCAUCAAAUUUCUUCUUUUUCAGCCCCCAUCCAAUCUACAGAUCGUCCGCCACCACUUAUUUCCUUCUGAAUUGACUCUACAGGAGGAACCUUAUGGUGUGAUAUGAUGAAUCAAGGAGGAGUUUCAGACACCAGAACCACACUGGACCAGAAAGUUUCACUUGAGGUGUUUGAUAAAUAACUUUGCCUCUCUCGCCAUGGUUCUAGACAAGUAAUUCCCCCUUCCUCCCCUUCUCAUACAUGCAGAUAUCAUUAUUGACUGUGAUGAAAGAUUCACAACGACUUGAUCUACUAAAGAAAAUUGCUGGUAGUCGAGAUUAUGAAGAGGUUCGUCACAGAAGCUGGAAACUCAUGCAAAAUUGCUGCUCUUUGGGUUUUGGUCAAAGUUUGUCAAACGGGUCAAGGCUGGUCAAAACAAGUAAGCACACCAAUUGAGGAGUUUGUUGUGCUGCGAAUCUAUG